rnacentral:rRNA from 1 species
UACAGAGGGUGCGAGCGUUAAUCGGAAUUACUGGGCGUAAAGGGUGCGUAGGUGGUCAAUUAAGUUAGGUGUGAAAUCCCUGGGCUUAACCUAGGAAUGGCAUUUAAGACUGAUUGGCUAGAGUUUGGGAGAGGGAAGUGGAAUUUCCGGUGUAGCGGUGAAAUGCGUAGAUAUCGGAAGGAACACCAGUGGCGAAGGCGACUUCCUGGCCCGAUACUGACACUGAGGCACGAAAGCGUGGGGAGCGAACAGG